AAGUUGCUUUAUGCUUAUAACCAACUUUAGAAUUCCAAGCUCUUCCCUCCAUGCAACAAAAAUCACCAACAAGUCUUGGUCCCUUGUGCUAAUUGGAUUUCCUUUAUGCUUUUCUUUUCUCUAUAUAUCUUUGGAUUACCCAACCCUGAGCUUCUCCAUUCAAAGUUUCAAAACAAAAAAUCCAUUAAGCUUCUCCAUAUAUUUGCCAU
rnacentral:misc_RNA from 1 species